rnacentral:rRNA from 1 species
UGACCUCGAAUCAGGUAGGACUACCCGCUGAACUUAAGCAUAUCAAUAAGCGGAGGAAAAGAAACCAACAGGGAUUGCCCCAGUAACGGCGAGUGAAGCGGCAACAGCUCAAAUUUGAAAUCUGGUCCCCAGGGCCCGAGUUGUAAUUUGCAGAGGAUGCUUUUGGUGAGGUGCCUUCCGAGUUCCCUGGAACGGGACGCCAUAGAGGGUGAGAGCCCCGUCUGGUUGGAUACCGAGCCUCUGUAAAGCUCCUUCGACGAGUCGAGUAGUUUGGGAAUGCUGCUCUAAAUGGGAGGUAUAUGUCUUCUAAAGCUAAAUAUUGGCCAGAGACCGAUAGCGCACAAGUAGAGUGAUCGAAAGAUGAAAAGCACUUUGAAAAGAGGGUUAAAUAGUACGUGAAAUUGUUGAAAGGGAAGCACUUAUGACCAGACUUGGCCCCGGUGAAUCAUCCAGCGGUCCCCGCUGGUGCACUUUGCCGGGGUUCAGGCCAGCAUCAGUUCGCUCCGGGGGAUAAAGGCUUUGGGAAUGUGGCUCCCUCGGGAGUGUUAUAGCCCAUUGCGUAAUACCUUGUGGCGGGCUGAGGUUCGCGCUUUAUGCAAGGAUGCUGGCAUAAUGGUCAUCAGUGACCCGUCUUGAAACACGGACCAAGGAGUCGUCUUCGUAUGCGAGUGUUCGGGUGUUAAACCCCUACGCGUAAUGAAAGUGAACGCAGGUGAGAGCCCUCCAGGGCGCAUCAUCGACCGAUCCUGAUGUUCUCGGAUGGAUUUGAGUAAGAGCAUACGGGGCCGGACCCGAAAGAAGGUGAACUAUGCCUGUAUAGGGUGAAGCCAGAGGAAACUCUGGUGGAGGCUCGCAGCGGUUCUGACGUGCAAAUCGAUCGUCAAAUAUGGGCAUGGGGGCGAAAGACUAAUCGAACC